GCCCCCGUAGCUCAGUUGGACAGAGCAUGUGCCUUCUAAGCACCAGGCCGCAGGUUCGAGUCCUGCCGGGGGCG
rnacentral:tRNA from 1 species